rnacentral:lncRNA from 1 species
CACAAUAUUUAUCUUUUAUGAAUAUAUUAAUAAUCUGUACUUAAAAUGUUGAAACAGGAGCAAAAGAAAGCGGAUCUCAAAGUUAAAGAAAAAAAAAAUAUGAUACAUGAAUGGAAGGAAAAAAAAAAACAAGAAUCGGAGACAAAGAUUAAGGAAAUACAGCAAAUGAAAAAAGAAGAAAUUAAAAUAAACAAAAAAAUAAGAGAAGACUUGAAGAAAAAAAAACAAAUGAUACAGGACAAGAUGAAUAACAAAAAAAGGGAACAACAUCAAAAUAAAGCAAAUAAAAGCCAAAAAAAUGUACUAUCUGAGGAGAUGUUACAAAGAAUAAAUGAGCGAAAUGAAAGAAUUUUACAAAAAAAAAUUCAAUCAAAUGCAUGUCUUAAUGAGGAAAAUAAUGAGAAAGCCAAAAAAAUAUCGAAACAAAAAUUUUUGCACGUACAAAGUAAAUUGUUAAAUAAUACAGGUAAGCAAGUAGUUAAAAAUGAAAUGAACACUUCUUAAGAGAUAUUAUCUCUAUACAUAUGUGCUUAACAUUUUAGUUUUUUUUAGUUUUUUUUUUUAAAGUUGAUAUGAAACAUUUAAUUACAAUGACACAGUCAUCGCUUAUUAUAUAUACAUACUAUUUAUAAACUUACACAUUAUAUAUAUAUAUAUAAUUAAUUUCCUACUAUUACAUUAUAUAUAUUUUUUUUUUUUUUCAUUUGCAGAUGACCUUUUGAAAAUGAUUGAGUCCAGUGUUGAAACUAUCAAAAAUAUUAUAUAACA